rnacentral:tRNA from 1 species
AUUACUUUGGCAGAUAAGUGCACUGGAUUUAGAAUUCAGCUAUAUAGAAUACUAUAAGUAAUA